GUGCACAAUAAAUAAACAUGCUUUUUUUUAAGUGCAUUGUUAACAGCGCUGCCUCAGAAAGAAGAAUUAGAGAGAUUUUCUGUAAGACCAAGAAACAAAACUCAACCCCAUGCUCAAAAAAUAUGCCUCCUAUUCACUGACAUAAGAACCAUUCAUGCGAGGCCAGGUUCGCUUUUAAUGAAUGGCGUCCUAAAUCACUGCUUUCACUGAACAUGUUUGCAAUGCAGAAUAAGGUGAUAUGGGCUAGGAAUAUCUUAGUAUGCGUUUCAGUCUUUUUCCAUUUAAUUUUAAUUGAAUACAGACAAUGUGAUGCUCUGACUCCCUUAGAAACGUUGUUUGUCUGAGGCUUAAAUUAAUCUAGACCAGAAGGAGAUCAUAUUACUUUGUGAGUAAGCAGAACACGAAAUAUUAUGACGGUUUUCCUCUGGUACAUGUGACACCAAGUCUAGCCCAGGGGCAGGAUUCUUGCAGGCGACAGCUCUCUCUUGCCAGUGCCAGAGGUCUUAAACCAGACCACCUACCAGAGCCAGAUGCCUUUUACUGCUCUGUGUGCAGCUCUCUGCAAAUCCCAGUUCACAAAGGCCAGAGCACAGAAUGCUGAUACUGGAGGAGAGUCUAAUUCAUUUCUUGUUAAUUAAAAACAAUACCAGACUGGUUGGAGGACUCAAAAAUACUUCCUGUGUUCUGAAUAUGGAUACUAGUUUCCACUGUCUUUGCAGUAAUUUAACUUCAAGAUUUGAGAGGCAGCAAUAUGAAGGAAGACAGGGAGCCAGACAUUUGGCUCAGGUGACAUAUAUCCUCUCAUUCUGGUGGUGUGGUGAGAUGAGCUGCAAAUAAAAUAUCUUCUGAUCCUUCCUCAGAAUAUGGGAUGCAGAAUAAGGAAAGUGAGAUGUGAAGUGAAUUUCCUGAGCAAAAAUCAUCAGAGUAGCAAUAAAAAGAUGAGAUAGGGAGCAUUCCUCAAAUAAAUUAUACUUUCUUGAAGGGCAAGACCCCUUCAAGAAAAGGAUCAUGCUAGAAACAAGCUUUUCUGCUAAAUUAAAAACAGCAUAAGGUUAGUUACCAGUCAGGCUAUUUACUAAAGGGCUUUAUGUCAAAAUUUCCCAGCCUGAGAUACAUAAAAAGAACUUAUUUUUCAGGAACCAAGAACUGAUCCUAGAAAAUCUGUGUAGACUUAAAGCUCAGUUGUUAAAUUCAUAGAGUAAUUCCUUUAUGUUCUGUGGAAGUCAGGUCUUUGGUCAUGCUUGCUCCUCUGUGGAUACUUAAGACAGAGAGAGGGUUCAAAGGCUCAUCCAAAAAGUGAGCAGUAUUUGGACAGUAUUGAGGCUUGUGAGUAAUCCACCGCCCAGAGGAGUGCAGACCUGGUGAUAAGAUGGCCUGUCCUUCAAGGACCCAGGGUUCACAUCUCACAUAAUUCCUUCACACAGAGCCCUUCCCAGGAUGGCCAAUAUCCUUUUAAAAGCCAGUGCUUGAUUAAAGAAGUUCUAUAAAAGGAGAUGGUUAGAAGUAAAAAGAUGCAGGUAUGCAAAAGACUGCACAGAUAUAAUGUCCUGCAGGGAGGAGCAAAUAAUCUGAAGAGGCUAUUUGAAUGGGAAAUACAAAGUGCUAGGAUUUUCAAGGAACUUAGGCAUGGCAUUACUUGUGAAUCAAGGGAUUAUUUCAGUGUUGGUAUGUCAGGAAAUACGAUGCAGGUGAGUUUAGAGGGCAUGAGGCCAGAGAGAGGAAGCAAUCAUGAAGGUGCAAAGAUGGACAGCACACACAAACAAGGCCUCAGAAAAGGAUGUUGUGCACAGAAGAUUGAUUUGGAAAAAAAAGAAAAAUAGCAGUUCUGCGUUGCUAGGCUUAGAGAGACCAAAAGAACACACCAAGACUAUGCACUGUGCAAAUCACUUCUGGAAACUAAGCAAGAGACAAGGACAAAAAAAAAAAAGAAUGAACAACCCCUAUUUCUCAUAAUUGCCAUCUUUAACUAGAAGAAUAAGGCAGUGUGAAAAGCUGAGGAGCUUUCAAAAUGGAAAACUGAAGGCAAGAUUUGCCUUCCAAUAGCAGGAGUGCAGGAUUCACUGUAAUUGUUCUAACAAAGCUUUAGUUGUUGUCAGAUUGCAACUUGAAUGAUCACUGACGAGAACUGCAGCAUACUGUAAAGACUGUGUCUCCCUGAGAUGAAUGCUGUAGCAGUUCCUUGGCUGAAAGUUUAUACUUUGAACUCAUCUAAGAGUAUAAGAAGUCUAACUUAAGGUCUGAUGUGUAAGCAGUUCAGUGUGGUGAGAAACGUACCUCUCCAUCUUCUGCUGUGCACAAGGCAUCAAAGAUGAACGAGCUGAGGAGAAAGGAUGGCUCAGCAACAGACUCUGAGCUGUUUUUAAUGUUAAUAAUGUCUAAACUCUGUCUAGGCUUCAGAAUCACAAUGUCAAUUUUGUUCCAAAUUCUGAACAAGAUAUCACAUGAAGAGCACAAAAUCAUUUACAAAAAUAUAUAUUUCACACUAAAUUAUUCUACUGUCUUACGCUUUGGUUCGGUAGUUCCCCUUUCAAUUGAGAUUUCAGUAGGAAUGUCAGACAAAGACAUAACUAAGAAUAAAUACAUUGGUAUCAUUGAUUGUUGUGUUAGAAGACUGCAGCUUGUCUGCAUACCAAUGAGAAUUAGUUUUGCGUUUGUGGAUGAGACUACAUCAAGUUAAGAAGAGAGAAACAAUGGAAGACCUUAUGGAGUAUACUGGGAGGAGGGAAGGGAAAAAGGAGACAAAAAGGGAAAGAGGGAUAAAAAGGUGGGGAAGGGGAUGGAAAAGGAGGGGAGCAGGCCAAGCAGGAAGGCAGGCUCACUCAAGGAUGUACACAAAGUGAUUAGAAAUGCAGGAAGCUCAGGGAGGAAAAGCUUCACAGGAGCAAGGGGGGGACAAGAUUUCAAAACAAGAACAGAUUACAUUCUCAAAGGUAAAAUGAAAGUCAGUGGAGAUGAGGCUUCAAAACCUUGGCUAAGAAUAAGUCUUAAUUUUGCAACUGUCUGAUAGGAGAUGUACUGAAUAUUUUGCUGCUGACCUGGGCUUCAACAUCAAUAACUUUUCAAGUUAGAUGAUAUGUCUUAGUCUAGAAAUCUGUAUCUGGUUUGUCAAUGAGAGCAGUAUUAGGCACUGGAAGAAGCUGUCUGCAUUCAACAGGCAUCUCUGUAGCAAGUAUCUGGUGAGGAGGCAAGCGAGAGAAGGAACAUCAUUCAUUUGUGGACACGUGAGAUGUCAGGUGUGCACUUUCAGAACAGUUUGGACAAAGCCAUUCAAUUCCAGUUCUGCCCCAGGAGGACACACAUCAGUUAAUGCAGGGCAAGUUAUUUGCAUAAUACAUUAGGGUCCAAAUGCUGCUGUCAUCAGUGUAAUCACUUCAUAUAAAGCACAUUAGCACACAUGAAAGAGAUUUGCAAUGAUGAAUGAAAUGUCUUUCCCUCUUUUCUCCCCAAUAAAUUAUAGAAAACUAUAGUGACACACAGAAAGUGAUAGUGACAAGAAAUCCUCAACUGCAGCAGCAAAAAGUAUGCACAAAACAAAGCACACUGGAGACAGUAACUAUUAAUCUUCUUUAGUAUUUCUAGACAAAUCUUUACUCUUUUCUUUGCAAAUGGAAAUUUUUUCUGUGAUAUUUACAGGCAUAACAUAUCUGAACUGGAAUUCUGAGACUGAAACUCAUCCAGAUUCUGUUAAAUCUGAAAAUCUUGUAACAUACGGAAAUAUUAUUACUUUAAAUCUCUCAUAAUGCUUGGGAUGGAUUACCAUCAGAGAAUGGUUUGGGUUGGAAGGGACUCUAAAGCUCAUCUAGUUCUAGCCCCCUGCCAUGGGCAGGGACACCUUUCACUAGACCAGGUUGCUCCAAGCCCCGUCCAACCUGGCCUUGAACACUGCCAGGGAUGGGGCAGCCACAGCUUCUCUGGGCAUCUUGUGCUAGUGUCUCACCACUCUCACAGGGAAGAAUUUCUUCCUCAUAUCUAAUGUAAAUCUUCCCUCUGUCAGUUUAAAUCCAUCCCCCUUGUCCUGUCACUACAUGCCUUUGUAAAAAGUCCCUCUCCAGAUCUUGUCUGCCCCUUUAAGUACAGAAGCCACCUCUUCUCCAGGCCAAACAAGCCCAUCUCUCUCAACCUGUCUUCAUAGCAGAAAUGCUCCAAUCUCUGAUCAUCUUUGUGGCUUCCUCUGGACUUGCUCCAACAGCUCCACGUCCAUCAGGGGAACACUUUGUACAAAUCAGAACAUUUUCUGUAUGCAGUGACAGCUGCAUGACAUUAAUUUCUGGCACACAGCUCCCCAGACAUGCUUAUUGCCAUUUAUAUAGCGUAUGUCUGAGCUCUGCUAAGGAAAGAUUUACCUAUACAGCUGACUUUCAGAGGUUCUCUUCAUCCUGUACACACACCAGCAGCUUCCUUUCACUCAGACUAAAUGCUGUUUUUCUUACCUAUAUUCAGUAUUUCUGACAGACAUUUACUUUAAUUGUUACCACUGGGAUCAUGCCAUUUAACCAAUCACUGUUAGUCUCCACCCUCUGCCGUCAUGCUCUACUGAUAGCAUGCCAUAGUUUCUAUUCACCAAGUUCUUCUGUAUAACAUAUUCUUACAAUCUCUCUGCUUUUUCAGCUCCUGGAGGCUCAGAGAUACCUUGAUCAAAUCAUGAACCAGUCAUAGCAUGAACAGAUGUGAGACACCUUGCUCUGUUCAGGCUGCAGAUGAGCACCCUGUAUGAGUAGCCAGGCCCGGUUUGGACACAUUAUGCAGGGACAUCUGUGCUGACACCCCUGGCAUCCCAUGAGCUCUGGUGCUACAGGCACAGAGAGCCCUGUACUCACAGGAGAGCAGGUGUUCAGCAGAGCUGGUCAGGGUGUUUCAGCUGGGCAGCCUCACACCUCAAAGGAGCUAUCAACACUACAGUGAAGAGCUAGAGAAAUCUGGGGAGUGACAGCAUGAGUUGUGGGUGCUUCAAGGUCAAGGAAGAGAAAAAGGGCUCUGGUGUCCCCAACAACUUUCCUGUUCCCCUUGUGGAAAUCACUACUACCACAACCAAAAGAGUAAAUUCCAAACUGAAAGAGAGCUGUGACCCCCACCAAAACAGGCAGGAUAUAACUUCAGGCAGCGUUUUGACUCUUCAGCUGAACUGCUUCACAUGCCAUUCGUUCAUUCAACUGGAGCAAAAGAAGAGAAAGGCAGGCCCUCUGUCUUUCAGAAGCUCAACCCUGGCCUUAUUGAUUUCCACAGCAGGUAUUUUCCCACUUAAUCCUCUUCACUGUAAUUCACGUAAGUAAAAUAAAUACUCUGCAGAGGAGGUA